AAUGAACGCUGGUGGCAGGCUUAACACAUGCAAGUCGAGCGAGAACGGCACUUCGGUGCUUAUUAGAGCGGCAAACGGGUGAGUAACACGUGGGAAUUUACCAUUCAGUAAGGGAUAACAGUUGGAAACGACUGCUAAUACUUUAUACGCUCUACGGAGGAAAGAUUUAUCGCUGAAUGAUAAGCCCGCGGCGGAUUAGCUAGUUGGUGAGGUAAUGGCUCACCAAGGCAACGAUCUGUAGCUGGUUUGAGAGGAUGAUCAGCCACACUGGAACUGAGACACGGUCCAGACUCCUACGGGAGGCAGCAGUGAGGAAUAUUGCGCAAUGGAGGAAACUCUGACGCAGCCAUGCCACGUGACUGAAGAAGGCCUUAGGGUUGUAAAAGUCUUUUAGAUGGGAAGAUUAUGACGGUACCAUCAGAAAAAGCUCCGGCUAACUUCG
rnacentral:rRNA from 1 species